rnacentral:rRNA from 1 species
GUCUCUUUGUUUAAUUAGAUAUAAGGAGUCGAGCCUGCCCAGUGACUAAUAUGUUAAACGGCCGCAGUACCCUAACUGUGCAAAGGUAGCAUAAUCAUUUGCCUUUUAAUUAAAGGCUUGUAUGAAUGGUUUGACGAGAACUAAUCUGUCUCUUUUGAAAUGUUUAGAAAUUAACAUUUAGGUGAAGAGGCCUAAAUAUAGUUGAGGGACAAGAAGACCCUAUUGAGCUUUAAUGUAGUAAUAAAUUUACUAAAUUUUAGACAAAUUUGAUUGUAUGUUUAAUGCAACAAUAUUUUAUUAUUAAUUUUUAGUUGGGGCGACUAAGGAACAAAUAAAGCUUCCUUUAAUACGAUAUUAAGUGAAAGCUAUCUUAAAUGGAGAUCCAGUAAAUUAAUACUGAUUAAAGGAAAAAGUUACCAUAGGGAUAACAGCGUAAUUUUUCUGGAGAGAUCUUAUCGAAAGGAAUGUUUGCGACCUCGAUGUUGGACUAAGAUACCCCGAAGGUGCAGAUGCUUUCGACGGUUGGUCUGUUCGACCAUUAAAAUCUU